rnacentral:miRNA from 1 species
UUCUGUGGCUGCAAGGAGAG